GAGGACGUGGACCCGAGUUCAACACUCAGCACCCACACUGGGUGUCUCUUAACCUCCUAUGACUCCAGCUCCAUGGGAUCUGACACCUUCUCGUUUCCAUAGAUACCCCUACCCAUGUGUCAUACACACACACACACACACAUACACACACACACACACACACGCUCACACCCACUAUGGCACAUGGAAGUCAGGUGACCGCUUACAGGAACUGCUUUCGUUCCUUUCCACCAUGUGGGCCCAGGUCCUCAGACCUGGUGGCGAGAACCCUUAUCUGAGCCAUCUUGCCCCCUUAACUCAACUUUCACAUCAUGUAGGCUUCUUUUGUGAAGCUGACCUCCUGCAGUGAGGGUCCCUGACUCUGUCAACCCGGAUGAUGCUGCACUUGGGGAAUUUGGGCAGAGGAGUUCCACCCCUGGGCGAAUCGCACUGUCGCACCUUGCCCUUUGUCCUACUGCCUAUCUAGCCUUCCCUCCUCUUCAGGCACAGCCUGUCCGUGAUGUCCCAGAUCUUGUAAAGGCUCAAGAACAUCUUGAGCCCAAUAAAGUCCUAAUUGUGUUGGUGGCUGGAGGAUGCCCAGGGUGCUGGGGGCAGGGUAGAGUUUGGUGGAAAUAUUGUUUGAAUGUGUUGUGACGUUUUAGUUUUUCUACAGGUAUGUAAGACAGGGUCUCUCUGCGUUCUCCACAUAGCUCUGGCUUUCCUAGAACUCACUAUGUGGACCAGGCUGGUCUUGAACGCUACCUCCUGGGUGCCAGGAUUAAAGAAGCCCUUGGAGCCCAGAAAAGGAGAUGGAUUCCCUGAGGUAACUGAAAAUGCACUUGAACUUAUGAGCCUCCAGCCUUUGCCUCUCAAGUUCUAGGAUUAUAUUGCGCCACCUUGCCUCCUUCACUCCGUGCUGGAAAUCAAACCCAGAGCUUCAUUCAUGAGUGCAAGGCAGCACUACCCACUGAGCCACAUCUUCAUCCCGCACCCCUCGUCCCCACCUCGUCCCCAUGUAGCACAGGCUAGAACUUGCAGCCCUCUCGCCUCUGACUCCCUAGUGCUGAGACUUACCACCACGAACUGCCACACCGGCCACAGUGUGUCUCAAAGAGCUGUCCAAAUCAGUCUACUGGGGGCCUGUAGGGAUCCACUGUAUAGCUGCAUCCUCAUGUAUUUAACUCUGUAUUGAUGGAUUAUUUUUCUAAUACAAUGUUGUGAUGAGAAACUGUA